rnacentral:misc_RNA from 1 species
UGGCUGAGUCACAGAAGGCAAGACAUGUAUUUCUUGUCCCACUUCAAACGGAGGCACCUUCUCCACAUCUGUCACAGAGCAACAAAAAGGCUUGCUCCUGAAACAAAAGGCAACACCCAUAUCACCAUCCUCCUCCAAGCUGUGAAUUACACCAAUGCUGUUCCGUGUAAUGUCCUCCCAUCCAUAUUUUGGAGAGGAUACUGAAGCCUUCACUCUCACCCAAUCCCCAACCUUGAAAUCCUCAACCUUUUCCAUGUCAGAUGGAUCAGCCUGCCAUGGGAUAGGUCGAUUUGGUAUUUCUAUUAUGAGAAGCCCAUCAUUCUCUAUCUCACUAAUUCUUCCAACACUGUGAUGGGUCUCACCACCCCAAGCAUACCUAGGUUCUGCAACAGAUCGCUUCACACACACCCG